rnacentral:rRNA from 1 species
UACGGGGGGAGCAAGCGUUGUUCGGAUUUACUGGGCGUAAAGGGCGCGUAGGCGGCCACCGCAAGUCAGUUGUGAAAUCUCUGGGCUUAACCCAGAAAGGUCAACUGAUACUGCGGGGCUAGAGUGCAGAAGGGGCAACUGGAAUUCUACGGUGUAGCGGUGAAAUGCGUAGAUAUCGAGAGGAACACCUGCGGCGAAGGCGGGUUGCUGGGCUGACACUGACGCUGAUGCGCGAAAGCUAGGGGAGCGAACGGG